UCCCUGGCAGCCAUGAUGAGCAGCAUGGGCUACAUUCAGCCUUGGUGGAGAUGGGUAUUUCUCCAAUUCUUCUUAUGGCAUCGCAUCUACGUUACACCAGGUAUCAAGGGAAAAUGGCUAGCAGUGAGUUCUGUAGCUUUUCCUGCUCUGCAGCCCCUCUGGCUUAGCCAGCUGGAUCACACCGAAUUAGUCAAGUACUUCAUUAUCUCCCUUCUCUGCACAUUUUGCUCCAGCCAGAACAAACCCUUUCACAGCCCCCUGGACCUGGGGGGUCCCCGUGCCACCUCCCCACCUGCUCCAGCAGGACAGCCAGCCUCUCCCGGCCGCCCACAGGUGGAAGCAGGCUGCCAGCCCUCCGCACCGCUAAGUGCAUGGAUUAAAGAACAGCAAGAAAGCAAAUUGCUACAGUUAAAGAAAGAAAACAGCAGGACUAACACGUUUUAGUAGGGGUACGUACGCUGA